rnacentral:rRNA from 1 species
AUGGGAGUGAGAAUGUUGGCAUGAGUAGCGAGAUGUGGGUGAGAAUCCCACAGGCCGUAAACCCCAGGUUUCCAGGGGAAGGUUCGUCCGCCCUGGGUUAGUCGGGACCUAAGCUGAGGCCGACAGGCGUAGGUGAUGGACAACAGGUGGAUAUUCCUGUACUACCGAUAACCGUUUGAGGGAAGGGAUGACCAAGUAGGAGAAGCAGAGCA